rnacentral:rRNA from 1 species
UGAGGAAUAUUGGGCAAUGCCCGCAAGGGUGACCCAGCAACGCCGCGUGGAGGAUGAAUGUCGUAAGAUUGUAAACUCCUGUUAGAGGGGAAGAAUAGUACCGGUUGGACCGGUAUAUGACUGUACCCUCAGAGAAAGCCCCGGCUAACUACGUGCCAGCAGCCGCGGUAAUACGUAGGGGGCAAGCGUUGUCCGGAUUUACUGGGUGUAAAGGGCGCGCAGGCGGGAUAAAAAGUCAGUGGUGAAAUCCUACAGCUUAACUGUAGAACUGCCUUUGAUACUUUUAUGCUUGAGUUCGGGAGAGAGAGACGGAAUUCCAGGUGUAGUGGUGAAAUACGUAGAUAUCUGGAAGAACACCAGUUGCGAAGGCGGUCUCUUGGUCCGACACUGACGCUGAGGCGCGAAAGCGUGGGGAGCAAAC